rnacentral:rRNA from 1 species
GGGGAAUAUUGGACAAUGGGGGAAACCCUGAUCCAGCGAUGCCGCGUGUGUGAAGAAGGCCUGCGGGUUGUAAAGCACUUUCGAUGGGGAGGAAAAGUUUAUUGUUAAUACCAAUAAGCUGUGACGUUACCCAUAUAAGAAGCACCGGCAAACUCUGUGCCAGCAGCCGCGGUAAUACAGAGGGUGCAAGCGUUAGUCGGAGUUAUUGGGCGUAAAGCGUGCGUAGGUGGAAAUUCCAGUCAGUUGUGAAAGCCCCGGGCUCAACCUGGGAACUGCUGCUGAUACUGAGUUUCUUGAGUAUGGUAGAGGAAAGUGGAAUUCCCAGUGUAGCGGUGGAAUGCGUAGAUAUUGGGAGGAACACCAGUGGCGAAGGCGGCUUUCUGGACCUAUACUGACACUGAAGCACGAAAGCGUGGGGAGCAAAC